CCCGUCUCCCCCGCAGCCCUCGGCCCCGAUUCAACCUCUCCCCUCCCCCCUUUCCCGAAAAAUUUCUCCACCACCUCGCUGGCCCAAAUCUCAAUCCGCCGCCGACGCUCCCCUCCUCGUCAGCCUCGUGGUCGCAGUGGCCGAAGUCCUGUGGACGCCGCCGCUCUCCUCCUCGCCAGCCUUGUGGUCGCGGUGGCCAUAGCCGCCGGCCCUGCACUCUCCUCUUCAGGAUGCCCCUCGUGCCACCCUCGUGUUGAUUGUUGGGCAUGAGAGCCACCAUCGACUGGUUGAUCCACCUCGCUAGCUCGUGUCCGUCGAGGUCGUUGACUCCUCCAUUCCUCAAUUGUUAAGCUUCGCUGCAGCAGACUCCCCUUGGAGAUUCUGUUUCGACCACAUGCAUGACCCUGUAGGUAAAUUACUUCUUUCCCCGUGGGUGCCUGGGUGGUCUUCAGCCUGCAGAUGGGCUUCUAUUGUACUGACGACGAUACUGCUGCGAACAUCGAUCAUCCUUGUCCCGCGACUGGUGAACCAGUUGAAGUCCACAGUGAUGUAUAGCAUCAUGAGCUUAAUUAUAUGGCUACUUUUUGUUACUAUUUCUACAUACAUGCUUUAUUAUAUCACGGUUCUGCUCUUUGGGUAUGCACUUGAUUUAUGGGAGGAGCCCCAAACUUUUAUUAAAGAACUUACCAAUCUUGAACCUUCAGAAUUAAGACUGGUGGAGUACCUGUCAUUUUUAGGCAAUUGGCAGUGAAGACAGCCUUGCAUCAGACAUAUGUCAUAAACUUAGAACAUACUGUUGGUUGGAUACGUGACGAUGUAGUUCGGUCACCAUUGGUGAAGUGGAUAAUCUUAGAACAUACUAAUACUUUUAGGCAAUUUGUCGCGAAUCAGCUAUAAUGACUUAGUCCAGAGGUGGAGCGGAUAGUUGGCACCGUGCAGUUCAACGAUCCCUACAUCGAUCCCUUAGAUGUGAGCAAGCUGCCUUUGGAGCUACUCAAAGCAAGACAGGAAGCAUGGCAUGCUCAAGCUCAAGUCGUCUCAAUGGCUCGCCCCCGAAAUGGAUGACGCGCUCAAGUGAUGAGUUGUGCGCACGAGUGGUCGAAGCAGAAGAAGAAAGGUCGUCCACAGUGUAGUCUUGCUAAUUGUGGUCUUAUAUACUUAGCUGAGCAAAGCAGAUGAAGCAAGGAAGAGAUGUACGAGUAACAAGUUAUCAACUAUGUAUUUCACUGGCAUGUUUUUCAGUAGUGCAAGUGAGAUUUUUAUUUUGACCAUUAAUUAGUGUGAAUUAUGAUGAUCGCCAUUGAUCAAUUAAUGUAAGGGAUCUGUCUUACGUAAAAGCAUUGGAUAUGAUGUAUACAAGCAUCUGCCACUAGAUCUCUUUCUAUGUUUUCAUCUGUUGUAUGUUCCCUCCUAAUAAAUUUUUUUCAUGAAUAAUAACAGGCACAUGGUCCCACCAAGAAGACUACUUCUGUGCUUGAACUAUUCCAAAUGGCUGCUAUUUUUUGGGAGAAGAACAGCAGCUCUGGAGCAUCCAAAGAUGAUUGAUUCAUCGAUCAAUGGUUGAUAGCAAUUAGCUCAGAGAACAGAACAACAUUGCAACUGACAAUCUUGUGCAUUACAUCUACUUUGAUCGACAAAAUAUUCCUAAGGGUAGUUUCAGUUUGAUUUGGGCAUCUACAUUAUCUUACAAUCUUGUUUGUAAAUAAUUUUUCAGGUUUGUCUGUACGCCGUCCCAUUCAACCCUCGUCUCUGUCAGCGUCGCCCUACCAUGGCACGGGUGAACUAGAAUGUAUCAUCAAUUCGUCACCCAUAAGCAACGAAAUCUGAUGUGGUUUUUGUUCCUGAUCCCAUGGUUACUCUGAAUUUUGAAAGUUGAUUCUGCAGUUUAAAAACCUGUGUUGACCUUUUCCGGCCGCUUCACCAUAUUGAUUUACUACAAGUUAUUGUGGUUUUCACUGAUUUGGAAUAUGUGGCUAUAUAUCCGUGGGCGUGUUUGCAAAAUUUGGUGUGCUUCUAGCUCCCAAUAUGUGUUUGUGCUUGAUGAAUUGUUCGCCUCAUGGUAUUUACUUGUAAUUUUUCCUUUAUUAUUAGCAUCUGAGUAUGAAUGCUUGCAGGUGUGGGAGGAGCGGGACUAGGUUGUCGUCCAAGUUGCUCCACACCCUUUGGCAUUGUUGCGUCUAGACCAUCGCUCAGCUCCCACAUCUGUAUGCCUGGUCUAAGCACUUCAAUUUUUGUUAUAUGGUGGAUAUGCAUUUGCUACAGUUUUGUUCAGGACUUCUCCUUUGUCAUUGGAUUAAAAAGACAAACUCUUAUACCAGCUAUUUCUUGUUUGUCCUUUCUGAAAUCGAGGAUUCACAUUCUAAUGUGCUGGGAGGUGCUUCUGUGUUUUUAUUGUUCAUGAAUGGCAUGACCAAGAAGGAAGGGAGGAAAUGUUUUAUAAAUCAAGACAAACAUGUUGAAGCUUGGUAAUGUUGCAGAGAAUUUAAGCAGAAGUACAAUAUUUCCAUGAAAGUUUCACUUAUUCUCUGUUCGUGUUGUUGGAAAUGGCAAUCACUUGAUCUUUAUAUUAUGCGGCUGCCUAUCUAAAAACCUUAAUUGUGGCCUUAAUAAACAUUACCAUUUGACAAAGUAAAAGGUCCUUCUUCAUUCAAAUAUUUUCUUAUCGUGUUUGUAGGAUUUGGCCAUGAUUCUCUUUCCUCAUUUCUAUAUUUGGUGUUUUGUUGUGACCCAAAGUUGACCGUUUUACAAGUUAUCUAUUGUAUAUGUUGAUGCUUUUGUUUCUAAGAUGUAUUCUCAAGUGAUACUCACACAUCUUAUUUUCCUCUCUAUGCAACGAGAGGAAUGAAAAUAUGAUUGAAUUAUGAAUCUGAUAUUAUGCGGCCUAACCAUUAUAUGGCCUCUUGUGAAUUUUUAUUCUCCUGGUUGUGGGCUACCAUCUGGGAUAAAGGAGGCAAAGGUGACCAAAGCAACAUCUUCCCCACCUUGGAGCACCAAAUAUGGUGUCUCGGCAUCGAAAGAUUGUACCAUGAGGAUUGGAGUUUGAACGGGAUGCAGUUAAUGUGAGAGGAAGAGAUGUCUCGCAUGCACUGUUGACGAGCUCGGGAUACUGUACAAGCUAGAUGGAGUUGCCAUGUCUCUUAUACAUAUUUGUUGUCGCUCAUAGAACAUUAUAAAUUAGUAUAACAUGGAUUUCAUUUAUCAAGUAAAUUGUAUGAU